CUGGGGAGGACCUGCCCAGGCCAGCCUGACAUAAAAGGGCAGCUCUAGUCUGGCUUGGACUGAUCAGGGCUCAUCCGGGCACAGCUGACCAUGAGGUUCCCUGCUCAGCUCCUGGGGCUCCUCCUGCUCUGGGUCCCAGGAUCCAGUGGGGCCAUCGUGCUGACCCAGACUCCACUCUCCCUGUCAGUCAGCCCUGGAGAGCCGGCCUCCAUCUCCUGCAGGUCCAGUCAGAGCCUUGAGGAAUAUGGAAGCAAUUUGUUGAGUUGGUACCAGCAGAAACCAGGCCAGUCUCCACAGCUCCUGAUCUAUGAGGCUACCAACAGGGCCUCUGGGGUCCCAGACAGGUUCAGCGGCAGUGGGUCAGGCACAGAUUUCACCCUGAAAAUCAGCAGGGUGGAGGCUGAGGAUGCAGGCGUUUAUUACUGCCAGCAAUUUAAAGAAUUUCCUCCCACAGUGAUACAGCCCUUGACACAAACCCCUCUCCUGGGGGCCCAGCUGCACACAUGGGUGUGUGUUGUCUGGGGGAGCAGAGGGGCAGAUGCUCUGAGUCUGUGUAAGAGGAAGAAGUGGGAGAACCAGGGGCAGAGGGUGCAGCUGAGGCCUGUGGACCAGCAGAGCCUCAGCUCCUCCUCGGACACCACAUGUUCAGACCUGUCAGCUCCCUGGCUUUGGUGAGAUGCCCCCUUAGAAACUGGCCAGUGAUAGGAGCUGGCCUGCAGGUCACCCAAAGCUUAGCUGAAGUCCAUUUGUUCAGCCUUUGUUUUCUGCCUGGGCCAAUCAGAACUUUUAUCCUGGUGUGUAUUGAUAACCAUAGAGGAGAGCAUAACAUCAGGUUAGAAACAAUGGCACUACUAGAAAAGGAUCUUUUUAGCUGCAAUUUCAGCCUGUGUGAUUCUAUUUUCCAAUGUAAUCUCAUGGCUCUCUCAUGCAAUGAAAAUAUCACAUCUCUUUCACCCUUCUAUUUCUUGUGGAUUUUUCAAUGUUGAUUUUCCAAACCCUCUGACAUUCUCCCUUGCUCUGGAUUUUCUUGUCUUUUUGCAACUUAAAUAAUUUUGUGGAGAUUACAAGCUUGAUGGCAUAUUGUCAUAAAAAGGAAAAAAUGUCAAACAUAAAUAAAGUGACUCAUUUCGU